UAUGGUCAACAAGUGGCAUCGUACGACCACGUAUCGAUACCGGUGGAGGAAAGAGGGAAAGUAUUGGACAUUUGACUUUUUGAGGGAGUGAAGAAAGCAAAAAGACAAACAAAACCCUCCCUUCCCUUUUAAGAGGAAGAAGAGUUCCAGCAUGAUGGGGUAUGGUCCGUAAUUUUGAUGGCUGGCCGCUAUGGAUCCCACAGGUUCCAGAAAGUCCAAGAUGGCCACUGAUUCCAUGCAGGUCUGCCAAGGCCUGGAGAUGUUCCCCUCACUGAACAAAAAGGGUUCCUACUUCUUUAUAUUUUUAACUUUUGGAACUUUUUGUUUUCUUGCUGUUUUUUUAUUAUUGGUGUAUGUAGGGAGGGAGUGCCUCAUCAUCUAAAAGUGGAAUUCACUUCUAAAGAGCUUCUGGAUUCUGCUAUUCCCCUCAUAAACGACAUCUUGUCUCACAACUGCUUGCCACUCAUAUAGGCUCUUGCAAGUUUAUUUCUUCUAGAAGAUUAUAGCCAGAAACUAUGAAGAUUACUCAAGUAACCCUACAGGAAAUAAAGAACCACGCCAUUGGCUGGAGUUCGAAAGCAAUGAGACAAGUCAUAGCUAUGGCCAUCUUAAAGGCACUGAUCUAGUAGCUACAAAAGGAAUCCAUCCAAACAAUCAUAGAAAAGUAGGUCACCAACAUAUUAUCUAUAGUCGUCAUUGAAAUCUGUGAUAGUAAAUUAAUAAACCUAAAAACAAAGUGUGUGCAUAUAUAUAUGUAUAUAUAUAAAUAUCUCUAUGUAUAUUAAAUAUAUAAACAAUAUAUAAAUAAUUAUAGUGAGAUAAAGAAGAAGCACUCACAAGUA